CAUCUGUGGGAAGUUAUCUGGUGCAGGGUGAGGAGAGGCAGAGCGGGAAACAGAGAAAGUCGACCAAGGAGAACAGAGAAAGAGACACAGAGGCAGAGGUGUGAAGAGACAAGGUCGGGUCCAACAGCUUUGGCAGGAAUGUUACCUCCAAGUGAACAAAAUAACUAGCUGUUGGUGGACGAGAAUUCAGCUCUGCCAAGAAUACAGAACAAUGGAGAAACUGAUGGAGGUUCCUCUUGGAGAAAAAGUUCCUCGAAACAAAAAGACUCCUGAACAUUAGAAAUCAGCCUAAAUCUGUUCUUCGAGCACUUUGACGAUGACAUCAGCUGCUGUGACCCUGAAGAAGCUUUUUAAAUCCACUGCAGAGGAAUCCUGGAUCCCUGAUUUAAUGUCAAACAAUGAGAAAAAAACAUGGCCCGCUGUCUUUCUGAUUUUCUACAGUUUGUCAUUCCUUAAAGAAGCUAAUUUGUGUGGUGGGUUAGAAUCUCGUGUGAGUCUGACAUUUUAAUGAUUUAUUUGUUGCACUUGAAUGAAAAAAAAUGUGUAGAAGUACUUUAGAGAAAUGUAGCCUUACUGAGCAACUACACGUGAAUGAGCAAAUUAAAAGAUUAAAGUUCUUUUUUAUUAUCAGGAAUAUUUGUCUGACAUUUUAUGAUACGUUGACACACUUCUACUGUCACAAAGCAUAUAACCUGACCUCUGAUACGAUAUACAUUUUGGACGAUGUACUAAACUAUGACGUUUUUGGUGACAUUUUGGACGAUGUACUAAACUAUGACGUUUUUGGUGACAUUUUGGACGACAUACUAACAUAUGACAAUUCUGGUGACAUUUUGGACGACAUACUCAACUAUGAUGUUUUUUUCCACAUUUUGGACGACACACUAAACUAUGACGUUUUUGGUGACAUUUUGGACGACAUACUAAACUAUGACAUUUUGGACGACAUACUAAACUAUGACAAUUCUGGUGACAUUUUGGACGACAUAGUAAACUCUGAUGUUUUUGGUGACAUUUUGAACGAUAUACUAAACUAUGACG